CAGUGUUCGGCUGUUUUGGAUGUGUCAAGAAAUGUGCUUCCAGAUCUCGCUUCAGGCCAGACAAAGUGAGAGCAGCUGGUGAUCCCAGCAGAUAUAUUGUAUCCCAGCCUGUGAGCCACGGAGCAGUAAAAUCCUCGCUGAUUGCUCCUUUUAAAAGAGGUGGACGCGUUUCUGCUCCCGGAGGAGCUGCCGGCUGUUCUGCCAGCCGAGCGGCGGGUGAAUAACAGCGGGACUCAUUGUGCCUCGGCUCGGGCUCCACACCGCAGGCCAAAUUAAAAAUGACACGCAAUGAAAGAGCAAAGGAAACGAGUUUCCCCCAGAGAACAAUCUGGAAAAUUACCCUCCAUUCACACAGACAGGGGGAGUAUUGACAGAGUGUCACACUCGCUCACAGCCAAUCAGCUUUUGUUGCUUUCUAUCACAGCGGACUCAGAACAUCUGCUGCUCCUCAAACGCAACACCUGUGUCUGCGUGGAGCUCAGAGACGCCUUACUGGAACAGGUGCUGAUGCUCGUCAGGUGACCUAAAGCACCAGGACAGGAGGAGCAAACCCACAGCAUGUUUGUCCUCGUGUAGCUCUACACAGUCUGAGGUGUUCUUCGGUAAACCGGACCACCCGACAGAAGGACCCGAGGCCCCGCUGCACUUUUUUACUUCUUUUCUACAGUCACUUGGACCGACCUGCUGGAGCCUCUGCUGGACGUUAGAGGAACUGCAGUUUUUUGUCGUUUCCUGCAUGUUUUCUGUGAAAAGCCGACGUUUGGAUCCACUCAGAGUUCUAAAAUCCCGCACAGGCUUCUUUCUGCAUGAGGUCUUUUUCCAAACAGCUGCUUGUUGCUUGAAGAAAACAUUUUCCUACUUACUAAAUACUUUGCAGAAAGAUCUAAAUGUGAACACACCUUUUUUUCUGUGUUUUACACUUUUUAAAAUGCUGUGAGUUUAAAUGGCUGCUACCUUGCCAAGCCUCUCUUGUCUCUCUAAGAGAGAUGUGAUAUAUAAAAAAUAAAUAAUGGGAAGCACAGUUUGAAACGAUCGCUUCUGGCUGCUAUAAAAGGGAAGAA